rnacentral:lncRNA from 1 species
CUUUUCAGCGGCAGGCGAAGGGGGCUGAGGAAAGGAGGUGGGUCUAGGCAGGGGAAAUUGGGGUGCCACCAGACGGAGACAGCUUGGACUACCAGAAUUACAGAAGAGCAUGAUCGUGUUUUCCUUGGUCCUCUGCAAAAGUGAAGUUUCACUAAAGUAAUAAUCAAGCACUCUUUUGGAAGAGGGUAAUCUCUCUCCAAAAACUGAGGACACUUACCUUCCCCAUAUAUUGAGUCCAGCUGUGUUUGGUGGCCCAGGUACUAAUUUCAAGAUGCCAGGACGUUCCAGUUCAAAUUCAGGUUCAACUGGUUUCAUCUCCUUCAGUGGUGUAGAGUCUGCUCUCUCCUCCUUGAAAAACUUCCAAGCCUGUAUCAACUCUGGUAUGGACACAGCUUCUAGUGUUGC